rnacentral:rRNA from 1 species
UAACGAAUCUUCCGCAAUGCGCGAAAGCGUGACGGAGCAAUGCCGCGUGCAGGAUGAAGCCCUUCGGGGUGUAAACUGCUGUCAGGGUUCAGCAACACAAUGAGCAGAUCCAAAGGAAGAGCCGACUAACUCUGUGCCAGCAGUCGCGGUAAUACAGAGGGCUCGAGCGUUGCGCGGAGUCACUGGGCUUAAAGCGUACGUAGGCGGGCGUGCAGGCAUCGUGUGAAAUCCCCCGACUCAACCGGGGAACUGCUCGGUGAACCGCACGUCUUGAGGUCAGUAGGGGCGGUCGGAACGAUAGGUGGAGCAGUGAAAUGCGUAGAUAUCUAUCGGAACGCCGAAGGUGAAGACAGGCCGCUGGGCUGAUUCUGACGCUGAGGUACGAAAGCGUGGGGAGCAAACGGGAUUAGAAACCCGAGUAG